UUAACCGAAUAGGGGAGCCGGAGGGAAACCGAGUCUUAACCGGGCGUUAAGUUGCAGGGUAUAGACCCGAAACCCGGUGAUCUAGCCAUGGGCAGGUUGAAGGUUGGGUAACACUAACUGGAGGACCGAACCGACUAAUGUUGAAAAAUUAGCGGAUGACCUGUGGCUGGGGGUGAAAGGCCAAUCAAACCGGGAGAUAGCUGGUUCUCCCCGAAAGCUAUUUAGGUAGCGCCUCGUGAAUUCAUCUCCGGGGGUAGAGCACUGUUUCGGCUAGGGGGCCAUCCCGGCUUACCAACCCGAUGCAAACUGCGAAUACCGGAGAAUGUUAUCACGGGAGACACACGGCGGGUGCUAACGUCCGUCGUGAAGAGGGAAACAACCCAGACCGCCAGCUAAGGUCCCAAAGUCAUGGUUAAGUGGGAAACGAUGUGGGAAGGCCCAGACAGCCAGGAUGUUGGCUUAGAAGCAGCCAUCAUUUAAAGAAAGCGUAAUAGCUCACUGGUCGAGUCGGCCUGCGCGGAAGAUGUAACGGGGCUAAACCAUGCACCGAAGCUGCGGCAGCGACGCUGAUGCGUUGUUGGGUAGGGGAGCGUUCUGUAAGCCUGCGAAGGUGUGUCGUGAGGCAUGCUGGAGGUAUCAGAAGUGCGAAUGCUGACAUAAGUAACGAUAAAGCGGGUGAAAAGCCCGCUCGCCGGAAGACCAAGGGUUCCUGUCCAACGUUAAUCGGGGCAGGGUGAGUCGACCCCUAAGGCGAGGCCGAAAGGCGUAGUCGAUGGGAAACGGGUUAAUAUUCCCGUACUUGGUGUUACUGCGAAGGGGGGACGGAGAAGGCUAUGUUGGCCGGGCGACGGUUGUCCCGGUUUAAGCGUGUAGGUGUGUGUUCCAGGUAAAUCCGGUUCACUUUAACACUGAGGCGUGAUGACGAGGCACUACGGUGCUGAAGCAACAAAUGCCCUGCUUCCAGGAAAAGCCUCUAAGCAUCAGGUAACAUCAAAUCGUACCCCAAACCGACACAGGUGGUCAGGUAGAGAAUACCAAGGCGCUUGAGAGAACUCGGGUGAAGGAACUAGGCAAAAUGGUGCCGUAACUUCGGGAGAAGGCACGCUGACACGUAGGUGAAGUGAUUUACUCAUGGAGCUGAAGUCAGUCGAAGAUACCAGCUGGCUGCAACUGUUUAUUAAAAACACAGCACUGUGCAAACACGAAAGUGGACGUAUACGGUGUGACGCCUGCCCGGUGCCGGAAGGUUAAUUGAUGGGGUCAGCGCAAGCGAAGCUCCUGAUCGAAGCCCCGGUAAACGGCGGCCGUAACUAUAACGGUCCUAAGGUAGCGAAAUUCCUUGUCGGGUAAGUUCCGACCUGCACGAAUGGCGUAAUGAUGGCCAGGCUGUCUCCACCCGAGACUCAGUGAAAUUGAACUCGCUGUGAAGAUGCAGUGUACCCGCGGCAAGACGGAAAGACCCCGUGAACCUUUACUAUAGCUUGACACUGAACAUUGAGCCUUGAUGUGUAGGAUAGGUGGGAGGCUUUGAAGUGUGGACGCCAGUCUGCAUGGAGCCGGCCUUGAAAUACCACCCUUUAAUGUUUGAUGUUCUAACGUGGACCCGUGAUCCGGGUUGCGGACAGUGUCUGGUGGGUAGUUUGACUGGGGCGGUCUCCUCCUAAAGAGUAACGGAGGAGCACGAAGGUUGGCUAAUCCUGGUCGGACAUCAGGAGGUUAGUGCAAUGGCAUAAGCCAGCUUGACUGCGAGCGUGACGGCGCGAGCAGGUGCGAAAGCAGGUCAUAGUGAUCCGGUGGUUCUGAAUGGAAGGGCCAUCGCUCAACGGAUAAAAGGUACUCCGGGGAUAACAGGCUGAUACCGCCCAAGAGUUCAUAUCGACGGCGGUGUUUGGCACCUCGAUGUCGGCUCAUCACAUCCUGGGGCUGAAGUAGGUCCCAAGGGUAUGGCUGUUCGCCAUUUAAAGUGGUACGCGAGCUGGGUUUAGAACGUCGUGAGACAGUUCGGUCCCUAUCUGCCGUGGGCGCUGGAGAACUGAGGGGGGCUGCUCCUAGUACGAGAGGACCGGAGUGGACGCAUCACUGGUGUUCGGGUUGUCAUGCCAAUGGCACUGCCCGGUAGCUAAAUGCGGAAGAGAUAAGUGCUGAAAGCAUCUAAGCACGAAACUUGCCCCGAGAUGAGUUCUCCCUGAGACUUAGAGUCUCCUGAAGGAACGUUGAAGACGACGACGUUGAUAGGCCGGGUGUGUAAGCGCAGCGAUGCGUUGAGCUAACCGGUACUAAUGAACCGUGAGGCUUAACCUU
rnacentral:rRNA from 1 species